GGUACCUACGGGAGGCAGCAGUGGGGAAUAUUGGACAAUGGGGGAAACCCUGAUCCAGCGACGCCGCGUGAGUGAAGAAGUAUUUCGGUAUGCAAAGCUCUAUCAGCAGGGAAGAAAGAAAUGACGGUACCUGACUAAGAAGCCCCGGCUAACUACGUGCCAGCAGCCGCGGUAAUACGUAGGGGGCAAGCGUUAUCCGGAUUUACUGGGUGUAAAGGGAGCGUAGACGGCGAUGCAAGUCUGAAGUGAAAGGCGGGGGCCCAACCCCCGGACUGCUUUUGAAACUGUGUUGCUAGAUUGCAGGG
rnacentral:rRNA from 1 species